GUCUACGGCCAUGCUACCCUGAACAAGCUGGAUCCCAUCUGAUCUCGAAAGCUAAGUAGUGCCGGGCUUGGUUAGUAUUUGGAUGGGAGACCACCUAGGAAGACCAGAUGCUAUAGGCA
rnacentral:rRNA from 1 species